AUUGAACGCUGGCGGCAGGCCUAACACAUGCAAGUCGAACGGUAACAGGGAUCAGCUUGCUGAUUCGCUGACGAGUGGCGGACGGGUGAGUAAUGUCUGGGAAACUGCCUGAUGGAGGGGGAUAACUACUGGAAACGGUAACUAAUACCGCAUAACGUCGCAAGACCAAAGAGGGGGACCUUCGGGCCUCUUGCCAUCGGAUGUGCCCAGAUGGGAUUGGCUAGUAGGUGGGGUAACGGCCCACCAAGGCGACGAUCCCUAGCUGGCUUGAGAGGAUGACGGGCCCACAGGGACUGGGGAACCGGCCCAGCCUCCUACGGGAGGCGGAAGGGGGGAAUAUUGGAAAAUGGGGGAAAGCCGGAUGCAGCAAGGCCGGGUGUAUGAAGAGGGCCUUCGGUUUGUAAAGUACGUUCAGCGGGGAGGAAGGGAGUAAAGUGAAUACCCCGGCUAAUUGACGUUACCCGCAGAAGAAGCACCGGCUAACUCCGUG
rnacentral:rRNA from 1 species